rnacentral:lncRNA from 1 species
CAGUCGCGCGGGUAGGUGACCGGGUUGGAUUUCAAAGUCCAGCAGGAAAUCCUGCCCUCUGGGUUGCACUUCCUGGAUGAGCCUCUGACGUCUCAAGCAGCAUUGUUUUAAUGCUUUGAUGAAGCUCAGCACGCUGCCGAAAUCUCGGCAGUAUUUUUUCUUUUCUUUUUGCAUGUGAGAGAAAGGACAACAAAUUGCAGUUUUAUCCAUUUGUAUUAUUUCUUUAGAAAACUCAACACUCUUUUUGUUGGAGGUGGGGAAAUGAGAAGGUCUUUGUGGGAAGAAACAAAUCACAAAAGCAAUUAAGAGAGCUCAAACAAUGGGUUACUCUCAUCUGGAUUAUUGUAGUCACCUUGUCACUGGUAUCUCUGCUUUCUCCUAACCCCCAUCUAAUCUCCAAAAAAUCAGAGCAUGUCACUCCUGGCCCCCAAAUCCCCCCAGUGACUCCGCCCUCCCCACCCUGCUCAGAAUUAAAGUCAAUGAUCUUUUUUUUUUUUUUUUUUGAGAUGGAUUCUUGUGCUGUCACCCAGGCUGGAGUGCAGUAAGUAGUGUGAUCUCAGCUCACUGCAGCCUCCGCCUCCCAGAUUCAAGCGAUUCUCCUGCCUUAGCCUCCUGAGUAGUUGGGAUUACAGGUGCGCACAAUGCCUGGCUAAUUUUUAUAUUGUUAAUAGAGUUGGGGUUUCACCAUGUUGGCCAAGCUGGUCUUGAACUCCUGACCUCAGGUGAUCCACCCACCUUGGCCUCGCAAAGUACUGGGAUUACAGGCAUGAGCCACCAUGCCCAGCCUAAAGUCAAUUAUCUCACCACAGACCACAAGGCUACUUUGAUCCAACCAGCCCAUCUUAUAUACUACCACUUUCCUGUUUUCUCACAGUGCUCCAAUCACACUGGCCUUCUUUCUGGACUUCAAACAUGCCAAAUAUACUCUCCUUGAGGGACAUAGCACUUACUGCUACCUUUGUUUGGAAUGUUCUUUCCCAGAUACCCAUGUGGCACACCCAAAUGCUUGAGUGGCCCCUUAUUAGUGAGGCCUUCCUAUAGCAUUAUAUAUAAGAUGGAUAUAAGGUAGGACUCAGAACAUACUCCCUAUCCUCCUUACUCUACUUCACCUGACUCCAAACACUGUCACCACCUGACGUAGUACAUAUUUUAUUUUUUAUUUGUUUAGCAUCUGUCUGCCUCUAACUAGAAUGCAAGCUCCAUGAGGACAGAGAUUUUUGUUUUGUUUACCGCCAUAUUGUCAGCAGCUAGAGCAAUGUCUGGCAUGUAGUAGCACUCAAUGAAUAUUAAUUGAAUAAAUGAGCUACCUAAAAAAUAACUGCAUUGAUAUCAUAACCCAAGUAGUGUCUGAAAUAAUGUAAUGAAUUACCAGAAUGCAAAUGAAUUAUUUUCCAGAUGUCUUUAAGUUGGGUGUUGGAAAGUCAAUAUGCAUUUUUCCUACAAAUAUAAAGUAAGUGCUGUUAUUAUCCCCAUCUUAUGGAUAAGACAUCUGAUAUUUAGCUUAUGCAACUAUGCCUGUUUUCUGAUUUUGAGGCAUGUACCUCACCACUUAUACUAAAUUUCCAGGUCAGAUCAUAAAACCUUACGUAAGCCAUAAAAUUCAGAUAUAAAGUAGUCUAAAAAAAGGAAGGACCAGAAUGGAAGAUACCUAUCUUACACACAAACAGCUGUAUCUAGAGUAUAGGCUUCUUAGCUUUCUAGAUGUUUCACCCAGUUAUAGCUGUUCUUUGAUAGUGAUACAGUGAUAGAGGCAGGAGGCAGAGAAAUUCUAGGCAGAUGGGAAGAUCCCUGGCAAAGCACCACCCUAAAGCUGAAAAGCUUGAAACCACUGCCUAAAGUGAGAACUUAUAUUCCCGUUUUCCUGCUUGAAUGUUGUCUUUUCCUAAACUACCCAUAGCCUGCCCCACCCUAUCUUGUGCCUAUAAAGACCCCAGACUCAGCCAGCAGAGGGGAGAAACAGCUGGACAUCAGAGAGAAGCAGCCGGACUUCAGAGGGACAGCUUGAUGACAUAACUUUGGAGAAGAAUGCAGCCAGAGAUGGGUGGACUCCAGGGAAAGAUUACCUGCCGCCCCACCCUCUUUUCAGCUCCCCUUCCUGCUGAGAGCCACUUUCAUCGGCAAUAAAAUACACUGCAUUUGCUAUCCUUCGAUUUGUUUGUAUGACCUUAUUUCUCCUGGACGCCGGUCAAGAGCUCAGGAACCAUCAGUGCGAUACAAAAG